rnacentral:rRNA from 1 species
AGUGAACGCUGGCGGUAGGCCUAACACAUGCAAGUCGAACGGCAGCACAGGAGAGCUUGCUCUCUGGGUGGCGAGUGGCGGACGGGUGAGGAAUACAUCGGAAUCUACUCUGUCGUGGGGGAUAACGUAGGGAAACUUACGCUAAUACCGCAUACGACCUACGGGUGAAAGCAGGGGAUCUUCGGACCUUGCGCGAUUGAAUGAGCCGAUGGCGGAUUAGCUAGUUGGCGGGGUAAAGGCCCACCAAGGCGACGAUCCGUAGCUGGUCUGAGAGUAUGAUCAGCCACACUGGAACUGAGACACGGUCCAGACUCCUACGGGAGGCAGCAGUGGGGAAUAUUGGACAAUGGGCGCAAGCCUGAUCCAGCCAUACCGCGUGGGUGAAGAAGGCCUUCGGGUUGUAAAGCCCUUUUGUUGGGAAAGAAAUCCAGCUGGCUAAUACCCGGUUGGGAUGACGGUACCCAAAGAAUAAGCACCGGCUAACUUCGUGCCAGCAGCCGCCGUAA